rnacentral:tRNA from 1 species
UUGUAUGUAGCUCAGUGGUAGAGCUCUUGUGUCAAAUGCUUGAGGCACUGGGUUCGAUCCUCAGCCAUAUAAA